AGAGCGAACGCUGGCGGCAGGCCUAAUACAUGCAAGUCGAGCGGCCACUUCGGUGGCAGCGGCGGACGGGUGAGUAACGCGUGGGAAUGUGCCCUUUGGUACGGAACAACUGAGGGAAGCUUCAGCUAAUACCGUAUGUGCCCUUCGGGGGAAAGAUUUAUUGCCAUUGGAGCAGCCCGCGUUGGAUUAGCUAGUUGGUGGGGUAAAGGCCCACAAGGCGACGAUCCAUAGCUGGUCUGAGAGGAUGAUCAGCCACACUGGGACUGAGACACGGCCCAGACUCCUACGGGAGGCAGCAGUAGGGAAUCUUGCGCAAGUGGGCGAAAGCCUGACGCAGCCAUGCCGCGUGAAUGAUGAAGGUCUUAGGUAAUUAGGUAAAAUUUCUUUACGACCGGGAAGAUAAGUGUAACGGUAACCCGGAAGAAGGAACGACCCCGGACUAACGUUCGUAGACCAG
rnacentral:rRNA from 1 species